rnacentral:rRNA from 1 species
AUUGAACGCUGGCGGCAUGCCUUACACAUGCAAGUCGAACGGCAGCACGGGAGCAAUCCUGGUGGCGAGUGGCGAACGGGUGAGUAAAGUAUCGGAACGUGCCCAGUCGUGGGGGAUAACGUAGCGAAGGUUACGCUAAUACCGCAUGCGAUCUAUGGAUGAAAGCGGGGGAUUGCAAGACCUCGCGCGAUUGGAGCGGCCGGUGUCAGGUUAGGUAGUUGGUGGGGUAAAGGCUCACCAAGCCGACGAUCUGUAGCUGGUCUGAGAGGACGACCAGCCACACUGGGACUGAGACACGGCCCAGACUCCUACGGGAGGCAGCAGUGGGGAAUUUUGGACAAUGGGCGCAAGCCUGAUCCAGCCAUGCCGCGUGCAGGAUGAAGGCCUUCGGGUUGUAAACUGCUUUUGUACGGAACGAAAAGGUUUGGCUUAAUACGUUGAACUCAUGACGGUACCGUAAGAAUAAGCACCGGCUAACUACGUGCCAGCCGCCGCAGUAA